UGACGUCACUGAGAUGGGUCUCUCGAAUAAUCAUGGAUGAUGGAUGAGUGCGGGGACUUAAAAGUACAUAAGUUUAGUUGGCUCCACGUAAUAUGAAGAAAAACUGAGAAGACAGAAAAUCCAGCACGAAAUUGAACGUCCCAUACCAUCAUGUACUUUUCAGAACCAUGUUCAAUCUGUCGUACGACGAAAGUUUGUGCGCAGCCGCGUCAGCAUUAUUGGAACCUACACAACGACGAAACGACAACGUUUUAUUGUCUGAUGUUUACAACACGUGAGUGAGUCGGACUCGACAACGGACGCCGCCCCAUGCUCCAUACUGUCUAAAACAACCUUUGACGAACUUUUGCCACGUCUACAUGAACAGUUGCUAAAAGAAAAUACGACAUUCAGAGAUGCUAUUUCGCCAGCACAACAACUGGCAGUUACCAUCAGUACCCGAUCACCAGAAGCAGUAAGUCUACUGCUGCCGCACGUAUAUGCAGGAAAAAAUCGCAUAGUGUGAAGACAUGUAUUGAACUCAAUGGCCAACUGCAAUCGCGUCUGGGUGCAGUACCGGACAUGUCAAGUGGGGCCUGUCGGCUGUAAUGCGAUGCCGGACCGGCAGUGUUAAAAGGCACAUUAGAAAUAAUAGUCGACUGCUAGUCGCAUGUAGGUGCGACAUCGUGUCGGAUUUACGUGCGACAUAGUGUGAAAGGGCCCUAAGAGAUAUCUGUUGCAUAUGUUACUGUUACAGAAGACAUUUUGGGAAUAGGCAGG